CAGGGAUUGCCUCAGUAACGGCGAGUGAAGCGGCAACAGCUCAAAUUUGAAAUCUGGCCCUAGGCCCGAGUUGUAAUUUGCAGAGGAUGCUUUUGGUGCGGUGCCUUCCAAGUUCCCUAGAACGGGACGCCAGAGAGGGUGAGAGCCCCGUACAGUUGGACACCAAGCCUUUGUAAAGCUCCUUCGACGAGUCGAGUAGUUUGGGAAUGCUGCUCAAAAUGGGAGGUAUAUUUCUUCUAAAGCUAAAUACCGGCCAGAGACCGAUAGCGCACAAGUAGAGUGAUCGAAAGAUGAAAAGCACUUUGAAAAGAGGGUUAAACAGCACGUGAAAUUGUUAAAAGGGAAGCGCUUGUGACCAGACUUGCGUCCGGUGAAUCACCCAGCUCUCGCGGCUGGGGCACUUCGCCGGCUCAGGCCAGCAUCAGCUCGCUGUCGGGGACAAAAGCUUCAGGAACGUAGCUCUCUUCGGGGAGUGUUAUAGCCUGUUGCAUAAUACCCUUCGGCGGGCUGAGGUACGCGCUCCGCAAGGAUGCUGGCAUAAUGGUCAUCAGCGACCCGUCUUGAAACACGGACCAAGGAGUCAACCUUAUGUGCGAGUGUUCGGGUGUCAAACCCCUACGCGUAAUGAAAGUGAACGCAGGUGAGAGCUUCGGCGCAUCAUCGACCGAUCCUGAUGUUCUCGGAUGGAUUUGAGUAAGAGCAUAUAGGGUUGGACCCGAAAGAAGGUGAACUAUGCGUGUAUAGGGUGAAGCCAGAGGAAACUCUGGUGGAGGCUCGCAGCGGUUCUGACGUGCAAAUCGAUCGUCAAAUAUGCGCAUGGGGGCGAAAGACUAAUCGAACCUUCUAGUAGCUGGUUUCCGCCGAAGUUUCCCUCA
rnacentral:rRNA from 1 species